rnacentral:rRNA from 1 species
GCCAACGGCCAUAGGAGGGGGGUAACACCUGUUCCCAUCCCGAACACAGAAGUUAAGCCCCCUCACGGCUGUCCGAUUACUGCCCUAUGGGCGGGAAAGGCGGCUGCUGUUGGCA